ensembl:lncRNA apolipoprotein M
UGACACAUAUUGUAACUUGUGGUGCAUUUAAGAUAAUAUUAAUGUUAAUCUUGUGAUUAACAGGGUUCCCACAACUUCUAACACAUCAAAUUCAAAGACUUUUCAAGGACUUUCCAGGUCCAAUUUAUAGUUUUAGACACGUGUCCAGGAUAUUUUCGGAAAAACACCGAGGAUUUUUAUAAUGAGAACUAGCAGGAUUUACAGCAGCUCACAGGGAGAGAGGCUCGAAUGUGUGAACAUUUCUCAAGUGUGCGGUGUCACCAUGAGGGCAGACUUUGUGCUCCCUGGCCUUCUCUCACACAGCGCAGCAAAACUCUAUUGUGUAAGUUGAGUGAUGGAGACGACAACAUAUUUACUACUUAAAGAGCUAAGUAAAACAACUUCAAUCAUUGCACACAACCUACAAAUUCAAGCGCUUUCAAUAAACCACUACUAAAAUAAUUUUCCCCCUCGAAUUUGCAGACUUUCGGGGAUUUCCAGGACCUAAGGGAUCCAUGGAAUAAGUCAUGUACUGGCCUUACUGCAGAUACAGAGAGAUUUACCAAGAUAAAUACAAGACGUGGCCACACAGACGCCCCCCCCUCCCCCUCCCCCUCUGUUCUUUCAAUAAGUUGUCUUCCUCUCAAGUUGUGGGCUUACAUCUUAAAAUAGAUGAUAGAUAGAUAGUUCCUGCAGCUGUCAUGUCACCUCUUUGUGUCUCUGUCUCCUUUAGUAUCUGGGGAAAUGGUACUUUAAAGCAACGGUCAGUCCGAGAGAGUCUGACAUCCAGAAGUUCAAAGACCUGGACAACAUGUGGAUCUCCAUGGAGCAGCCGGCAAAUGACACACUGCUGGUGACCGGACAUAUGCGCAGAGGAGAUGACUGCAUAACACAGAUCUGGACCUAUUUUAUCCAUCCUGAGAGGGAUGAUGUUGAAAUGGAAGGAAGGCCGAAGCGGAGGACCCUGCUCUGGAGUGGCAAGUGGGCCAACUGCUCCGAGUGCAUCAUUUUCCAGGAAGUAGAACCACCUCUAAAGGAGACGGACUCAGAGGACUCCCUCAACAGAUACUUGCUGUACGGUAAGUUAUCUUUAAGGAAUAAUAACCCUAAUUUCAGACCUCUCCCAAACUAUUACCAUCUACAAACAGCGUGUCCUGCAUAACAUGUAAACAUUCCAAAACAACAACAUUGGAUGCAAAGCAUUUCGGUCAUAACGUUCUCAUUUUGGGGUGAACUAUUUCUUUCAAUGACAACGACUCCCGGAAAGGAUCAUUUAAACAAACACGUGUGAUGUGAUUGAAGUGAAACGCUCCACUGCACCAACAAAUCAAACUUCUUUGUCUUUCACCGCAGGCCGGCAGGGUGACGUCGACCACGAGGUGGUGAAAGCAUUUCUGGAAAACAUGUCUUGUCAUAACGUGUUGGCAAGUGUCAGACUUCCUCAAGAGAAAGGUUUGUCGUUUAGAGAACUAUAAUAUAAUAAUAUAUAUAUAAUAUAAUAUAAAAGAGGAUGCUUCUCAAUCUCAAAAUGUUUUUUUUUGUAAUCUAACAAUUAUAUUUCCAUUUACAGAGUUUUGCACCUAAAUAUUAACAUUGAGGUAGGCAUGAAUAUUAUAUCUUACUUCCAUUUGAAUGAUUUAUUUUACUUAACAUGUGCUGUCCUUGCUGGUUGAAAUAACCGUCUCUUGGUUCCACACAAGGUCUUACAGGAUGCUGCAGGAGCCGUGAACGUCCUGGACGACAAUACAAUGAUUUCAUCUUUUUACUGUGUAACGGUGAAACAAAUAAAGCAACAAUAAAAACAUUCCCUCAGGAAA